AAUGAACGCUGGCGGCAUGCCUAACACAUGCAAGUCGAACGAACGCACGAGAAGCUUUCGCUUCUGAUGUUGGCGGCGGACGGGUGAGUAACACGUGGAUAACCUACCUCUAAGACUGGGGUGAUAACGGGAGACCGGAUCUAAUACCCGAUAAUAUUUUGCACCGCAUUGUUCAAAAGUUAUAGACGCUCUUUCUGACACUUAUAGCCUGAUCCGCGCUGGAUUAGUUAGUGGGUAAGGUAACGGCUCACCAACGCAACGAAGGAUAACCGACCUGAGAGGGUAAUCGGCCAAGCUGGAACGGAGACACGGUCCAGACUCCUACGGGAGGCAGCAGUAGGGAAUUUUUCGGAAUGGGAGAAAGCCUGAAGGAGCAACACCGCGUGAAUGAUGAAGGCCUUCGGGUCGUAAAACUCUGUUAGUAGGGAAGAAAAUAAGUGUAUGUAACCGGGGAUGUUUUGACGAUACCCGAGCAAAAAGCCACGGCUAACUACGUG
rnacentral:rRNA from 1 species